CAACCUCAACUCAUAUGGGACUACCCCCUGAAUUUAAGCAUAUUAAUGAGGGGAGGAAAAGAAACUAACAAGGAUUUCCUUAGUAGCGGCGAGCGAAAAGGAAAGAGUUCAGCACUAAGUCACUUUGUCUUUAUGGCAAAUGUGAGAUGCAGUGUAUGGAGUGUUCAAUUUCUAGUAUGAGAAAUGCUUGAUAGUGCAGCACUAAGUGGGUGGUAAACUCCAUCUAAAACUAAAUAUAACCAUGAGACCGAUAGUAAACAAGUACCGUGAGGGAAAGUUGAAAAGAACUCUGAAUAGAGAGUUAAAAAGUACGUGAAACUGCUUAGAGGUUAAGCCCGAUGAACCUGAAUAUCCAUUAUGGAAAAUUCAUCGUUAUGAUUGCUAUAUGAAUAAUAUAGUAAGAAUGGCGUGCAUUUUUUCCAUAUAAGGACAUUGUAAUCUAUUAACAUACCCAAUUUAUCAUAAGAUCAAUGGCUUAAGUUUAUUCAAAUUAGUAUGCUUGCGUAUUAACAUAGAAUAAAUGCUUUUGAUUCGAUAAAGUGUUGAUAGAUCUAUUAUAUAUAGCGCUUGAAUACUUGUAUUCUAUAAUGGCACAUUAAUCUUGAUUUUUGUGUUUAUUAUAUGCGCUUAUAUGAUUUACAAUGCGAAAGAUUCAGGAUACCUUCGGGACCCGUCUUGAAGUCUAACAUAUUUGCAAGUUAUUGGGAAUAUAAACCUAAUAGCGAAAUUAACAUAACUUUUAUGGGAUUAGUUUUUAGUCUAUUUAUAGUCUAUUAAUUCAAUCCCGGGGCGUUCUAUCAGUUAUGCAUAAUAAUAUUUAUAUUAUUUAUGCCUCUAACCAGAGCGUACCUUGAGCAUAUAUGCUGUGACCCGAAAGAUGGUGAACUAUACUUGAUCAGGUUGAAGUCAGGGGAAACCCUGAUGGAAGACCGAAACAGUUCUGACGUGCAAAUCGAUUGUCAGAAUUGAGUAUAGGGGCGAAAGACCAAUCGAACCAUCUAGUAGCUGGUUCCCUCCGAAGUUUCCCUCAGGAUAGCUGGUGCAUUUAAAAAUUAUGUAAAAUAAUCUUAUCUGGUAAAGCGAAUGAUUAGAGGCCUUAGGGUCGAAACGACCUUAACCUAUUCUCAAACUUUAAAUGGGUAAGAACCACACCUUUCUUGGUAUGAAGGUGUGGUUGUGAUAUAAUGUGCCCAGUGGGCCACUUUUGGUAAGCAGAACUGGCGCUGUGGGAUGAACCAAACGUAAUGUUACGGUGCCCAAAUUGACAACUCAUGCAGAUACCAUGAAAGGCGUUGGUUGCUUAAAACAGCAGGACGGUGGACAUGGAAGUCGUAAUCCGCUAAGGAGUGUGUAACAACUCACCUGCCGAAGCAACUAGCCCUUAAAAUGGAUGGCGCUUAAGUUGUAUACCUAUACAUUACCGCUAAAGUAAAUGGUUUAUAUUCAAUCUCGGUUGGAUUUUAAACUUUGAAACUUUAGUGAGUAGGAGGGUACAAUGGUGUGCAUGGAAGUGUUUGGCGUAAGCCUGCAUGGAGCCGCCAUUGGCACAGAUCUUGGUGGUAGUAGCAAAUAAUCGAAUGAGACCUUGGAGGACUGAAGUGGAGAAGGGUUUCGUGUGAACAGUGGUUGAUCACGAGUUAGUCGGUCCUAAGUUCAAGGCGAAAGCUGAAAAUUUUCAAGUUAUAAUUAUAACAAAAGAAUGCAUUGCGCAUUUUUUUCGUAAUUAAACACUUGAAUAAUUUUGAACGAAAGGGAAUACGGUUCCAAUUCCGUAACCAACGACCAUAAAGAAGCCGUCGAGAGGUAUCGGAAGAGUUUUCUUUUCUGUUUUAUAGUCGUACUACCAUGGAAGUCUUUCGAAGAGAGAUAUGGUAGAUGGACUAGAAGAGCAUGACAUUUACUGUUGUGUCGAUAUUUUCUCCUCGGACCUUGAAAAUUUAUGGUGGGGUCACGCAAACUUCUCAACAGGCCGUACCAAUAUCCGCAGCUGGUCUCCAAGGUGAAGAGUCUCUAGUCGAUAGAAUAAUGUAGGUAAGGGAAGUCGGCAAAUUAGAUCCGUAACUUCGGGAUAAGGAUUGGCUCUGAAGAUUGAGAUAGUCGGGCUUGAUUGGGAAGCAAUAACAUGGUUUACGUGCUCGUUCUGGGUAAAUAGAGGUCUCCGGAUCUUGUUCCUCGGAUAGUAGUUAUGUAACCAAUUGUGGAACUUUCUUGCUAAAAUUUUUAGGGUUGCAUCGCAAGGUGUUAACUCUUUAAAUUAUAACGACUAUCAAUUAACAAUCAAUUCAGAACUGGCACGGACUUGGGGAAUCCGACUGUCUAAUUAAAACAAAGCAUUGUGAUGGCCCUAGCGGGUGUUGACACAAUGUGAUUUCUGCCCAGUGCUCUGAAUGUCAAAGUGAAGAAAUUCAAGUAAGCGCGGGUAAACGGCGGGAGUAACUAUGACUCUCUUAAGGUAGCCAAAUGCCUCGUCAUCUAAUUAGUGACGCGCAUGAAUGGAUUA